rnacentral:rRNA from 1 species
AUUGAACGCUGGCGGCAUGCUUUACACAUGCAAGUCGAACGGUAACAGGUUAGGCUGACGAGUGGCGAACGGGUGAGUAAUGCAUCGGAACGUGCCCGGUCGUGGGGGAUAACGCAGCGAAAGCUGCGCUAAUACCGCAUACGAUCUGAGGAUGAAAGCGGGGGACCGUAAGGCCUCGCGCGAUUGGAGCGGCCGAUGUCAGAUUAGGUAGUUGGUGGGGUAAAGGCUCACCAAGCCGACGAUCUGUAGCUGGUCUGAGAGGACGACCAGCCACACUGGAACUGAGACACGGCCCAGACUCCUACGGGAGGCAGCAGUGGGGAAUUUUGGACAAUGGGCGCAAGCCUGAUCCAGCAAUGCCGCGUGCAGGAAGAAGGCCUUCGGGUUGUAAACUGCUUUUGUACGGAGCGAAAAGGCUCUCUCUAAUACAGGGGGCUCAUGACGGUACCGUAAGAAUAAGCACCGGCUAACUACGUGCCAGCAGCCGCAGUAA